GGAGGGAUAGCUCAGUGGCAGAGCGCAUGCCUAGCAUGCACGAGGUCCUGGGUUCAACCCCCAGUACCUCCA
rnacentral:tRNA from 1 species